GUCCGGGAACCAACUGUCCGGCGGGAUCCCGAGAAGCGUUGCUAAGCUAAGCCAGCUGACGCAAAUGGACCUGAGCAGGAAUCAGCUCACCGGCGGCAUACCGGCAGAGCUCGGCGCCAUGCCGGUGUUAAGUGUCCUUGACCUGUCGUCGAACAAGCUCUCCGGCAACGUACCGCAGGCGCUUGCGAAGCCACAACUCACCUCCCUGAACCUGUCCUCGAACCAGCUGAGCGGUAAGGUCCCGGCCGGGUUCGCCACAGCGGUCUACGACACCAGCUUCCUCGACAACCCCGGCCUCUGCACCGCCGCUGCGGGAUCCGGCUACCUCACUGGCGUCCGCUCCUGCGCCGGCGGAUCACAAGACGGCGGUUCCUCCGGAGGCGUCUCGCACGCGCUCCGCACAGGCCUCCUCGUCGCCGGCGCCGCGCUCCUCCUCAUCGCCUCGGCGUUUGCCUUCUUCGUCGUCCGCGACGUCAAGAAACGGCGGCGCGUCGCGGAGCAAGACGACUGGAAGAUCACACCUUUCGUCAAAGAUCUGGGAUUCGGUGAGGCACCCAUACUCCGGGGCCUGACGGAGGAGAACCUCGUCGGGCGCGGGGGAUCGGGGCGCGUGUACCGCGUCGCCUACACUAACCGGCUUAACGGCAGAGCCGGCGCGGUGGCCGUGAAACAAAUACGGACCGCCGGGAAGCUCGACCAGAAGCUGGAACGCGAGUUCUCGUCGGAGGCUGGCAUCCUCGGCAGCCUCCGGCACAACAACAUCGUCAGGCUCUUGUGUUGCCUCUCCAACGCCGAGUCCAAGCUCCUCGUGUACGACUACAUGGACAACGGCGGCCUGGACAGGUGGCUCCACGGCGACGCCCUCGUCGCUGGCGGGCGCCCGAUGGCGAGGGCGCGGUCCGCGCGGCGCGAGCCGCUGGACUGGCCGGCGAGGCUCGGGGUGGCCGUCGGCGCCGCGCAGGGGCUGUGUUACAUGCACCACGAAUGCGAGCCGCCCAUCGUUCACCGCGACGUCAAGGCGAGCAACAUCCUGCUGGACUCGGAGUUCCGGGCCAAGAUCGCCGACUUCGGGCUGGCCACGAUGCUGCUACAGGCCGGGGCGCCCGAGACGAUGUCCGCCGUCGCCGGAUCGUUCGGCUACAUGGCUCCUGGUAAGGAUCCGAACUUGCUAUUUACAGUAGAUUUCUGUCCCAUUUUUCCAGAUUCAGACAUUAAGUAACUAGGGAGCAUCUACUGUAGCUGUAGCAUAUGUCACGAGUUAUCGUAUUGCCGGACCUUCGAUUUGGCGUUUGAUGCUUAUCUGCAGAGUGUGCUUACACCAAGAAGGUGAGCGAGAAGGUUGACGUCUACAGCUUUGGCGUCGUCCUCCUGGAGCUCACCACCGGCAAGGAGGCCAACUACGGCGGCGAGCACGGCAGCCUGGCGGAAUGGGCACGACACCACUACCAGUCAGGAGGGAGCAUCCCCGACGCCACAGACAAGAGCAUCAGAUACGCAGGGUACUCCGACGACAUCGAGGUUGUUUUCAGGCUAGGCGUGCUCUGCACCGCAGAGAUGCCAUCGUCGCGGCCAACUAUGAACGACGUGCUGCAGAUCUUGGUCAAGUGCAGCGAGCGGACGCACCAGAAGGGCAAGACGGAGCGUGGCCCGGAGUAUGAGGCUGCCCCGCUACUUUCCAACGGCUCGGGGAUUGAGAUUGAAGAGAAGAUCGACUUCGACCGCAUUGUCUGAAGAAAGGAACCGACCACUGCACAGGCCAGUAAACAACCUUCGACAGCAUCAGAGAACGGCUGUAGUGAUACUUAGCACAUUUUAGCAGAGUGCAGCGAGGGCUAUAGUUGUCACAAGACCUUGACCCUGCACUAGGUCGUUAGUGCAGGCAUGGUAUAGAUCAGGGCUUGUGGCGAACCAAACCGUUUCUGUGUUUUGACACUGCAAACUUGUAUUAUUAAAUCACAGACACAUUAGACUAGUCAGACAGAAGAACCAGCAAAUGUGAUGAUUUCCUUUUGAAACAAAGGCAGAAGAUGGGGUUCUGCAUGUCUACAUCCACCUGUUUAUUGUAAAAGCACUGGUUGGUUGGGAUAUGGCAUCAUAAUACAAACUUGGAGUGAUAAGGAAAAUGAAGCUGGAAGGAAGGGCUACUGCCCCCAAGAACUCCAUUGGAGCUGGAGGAGGAGGAGGAGGAGAGGGAAAAGAAGAAGAAGAAAAGAUGAAGAGGUGGUGGAGAUGGGGAAGGAAGAAGCAAGCCUCCCUAUGUUUGUACUUUGUCUUAGCCAUUGAGGGGGUGUUUAGAUAUCAGGUGCUAAACUUUAGACGUGUCACAUCGGAUGUUCGGAUGCUAAUUAGGAGGACUAAACAUGAGCUAAUUAUAAAACUAAUUGCAGAAUCCCUGGGCUAAUUCGCGAGACAAAUCUAUUAAGGCUAAAUAAUCCAUCAGUAGCAAAUGGUUACUGUAGCACCAUAUUGUCAAAUCAUGGACUAAUUAGGCUUAAUAGAUUCGUCUCACAAAUUAGACUCCAUCUAAGCAAUUAGUUUUGUAAUUAGACUAUAUUUAAUACUCCUAAUUAGUAUCCAAACAUCCAAUGUGACAGGUGUUAAAGUUUAUCACGUGGAAGCCAAACAGCCCCUGAAUGUGCUAUAUUUCAAACUCAUUGACGCCAUGUGACCUGUAUCCCGUUGCACAGGCAAAAGGAGAUGCGAAUCGCGCAAGAGGAGCUCUGACUUGAAAGGGGACAAAGCAGGAAAACAAAAGGGUUACAGCCGGGUACGCAACCAUCAGCUGGAUCGCGCCUCCGAUCGUGAUGCAAAUGAGAGGUAACAACAGUCAGCUGAGAGUGAUUUAUAUUAUUAAAUAUUACUCACACUUCCCAUUAAGAAAAUAGUCUAAAAACUUCUAAAUUCUAUCGAAAUUGUCCACCUCUAAUAUUCUGAAAACAAAAACCUAAACCAACCCCUUAAUGUUAUCUAACUUAUACACAUAUGACAUUAUAAAAAAAUAAUCUAAAAUACCCCUAAAUUUGUAUCUAAAUACCCAUAUUUAAUUAUUAAACAUAACCUAAAUCAAGUCUAAAUCUGCAUCAAAAUUACAUGAAUCUUCCAUUUAAAAAAAUUAAAGUACACCAUGCAUACAUGGUUCUAAAUUACCUAUUUCUAUUAUUACUAAUAUAGAAAAAUAAUAAUUUAAAAUAUAUGUGCGUGAUGUCAGCCCAACCAAUGCAAAUUUUCAUUAAAAAAUCAAUGAUGAAAUUUUGAAAAAUUUAACAUUGUUGGUCCCCUAACAAGAUAAAAUUUGAGAUUCUGACUCCACCACUGGUGGCAUUAUACAGACCACAUGUACAUGUACGGAUUUAAAAGAUGAGAAUAACGAUUUUCACGUUCAAUACUUUACACAUAGGUCAAAGGGUUAAAUUAAACACAUUUUAAAACAUAUAUAAAGGUGUGAUACAAAUUAGAGAAAACUAUAAGUGUGGAUGUGUAUAGAGUAAUUGCUAACUAAUUUAUCAUGAUCGGCAUAUCUAUACGAGUAUUUUGUUAGAUUUUAAAUUAGAGAGAGCAUGAUAAGCAAAUUUGGUUAUUAGAUAUGGACCUUAAUCUUUUAUUCAUUGCUAAUACUUAUGUUCUUUAAAAUUACUAUGCCGCGUGAGAGUAUGGUUUGAUGGACGUACUAGUUAAUCUAGAAAUAUGAGCAAUGGAGAGAUACAUGGCGGAAAAAUGAUACAUGACAGGAGACUAACUGUUUGGCAAGAAAUUACUGAAUGAGACUGAUAUUGAUACCAUCAUCAAUGAUUAGAUGCUAAACUUAUAAGGUAUUGUCUUUAUAAUGUUUUGUUUAAUAGUUUUUCAUGCACCUUAAGUGUUUGCCCGUAAAAUAUCUACUAUACUUACAAGGCUACUACUGCUCCUACUACUUACAAGGAUUCCUAUUUAGUUUUGCUCUUGGCCCUAAAAUCUUAGGAUCGGCCUUACUAGCAGCAACCGCAAAGACGCAACAUGCGCACUAGCGACUUAAUGUUCUGAGAACUUUUGAGGAGUGCCCCCUUUUUUCCAUUUGUCUUUCUUCUCCUUUUUCAUUUUUUUUCAAAAUGGAUCUAGAUAACUUUUUCAUAAAAGGUUAUUUAGAUAAUUUUCCAAAAAAAAUUAUUUUCAUAAUUAGAAGUGUUAUUUAAAAAAUUCUAGAAAAAAAAGAUUUUGGAAAGUUUUUUCAUAUGUAUGCAUUUUUAAUUUUGGAACGUUCGUCAACGAACUAAGGAGGAAAGGAAUGGGAAAUGUGUGCCAGCCGGGUGGACUAGACCAUGCCUCUUUUUUCCUACAAAGGGCCGGGAAAAUGAGACCAUAUGAGCCAAAAGCUCGUGUGUAAUAUAAGCGCAGCUAGCGUGCAAUCUAAUUAUUGGCGCCCACACAUACGGUGAUUUUGUUACUUUUAAAAAAUAAUUUAACUUCCCAUAUGUGUUUUUUAUAUGUGUGUCCAUUUAUGUGAACAUCUACUUUUUUUAAGCUGCAUUUUUUAUAAAAAAUGUGAUUUUACCUCAGGGAAUAAAAAUCAUGCGAACGAGUUACCCUCGGAGUCUCGUGUUUGACGGGGCACAGUUAUGCUGUGCUGUGACCCGUCUCCGGCGAACGUGAGAAGAAAAGAUUAGCGAACUGACCCCGAACCCGAAUUUCGUUGAUCAGCGGUGCAGUCAAGAGAAGGAAAAACGAUUCCUCUAUCUGGCAUCUAUCGACAGUUUGAACAACACAGACUUCCAUAGCACCAGCAAAAGUCUGGUCUACUCCGUCCGAAUCACACUCUUAAACGAAGGAAAAGAUACGAAUCAGAGGCAGUUAGAAAGCUUCGCGGCAAGCACCUGCAAGAAGUAAAAGCCCAAAACGCACGCAGCGGACCGAAUGGGCUCAUGCCAGUUUUCUACAAGAAAAACUGGGGAUUUCCCUCUCCCUCCGCAUUUGAUUGCCAAACCGAUCGUCCGUCUCCCUGAUCUUGGCCUCUUCCCGCGUCGACCGCGCACCGCGGCGGCCGUGCAGGCGCGCACAACCAACGCCACGCCACGAAAACAGACCGGCCGACACAUGGAGGCACCAUGGCGCUCCCCGCAUCUCCUCGGCCUCGUGCUCGCACUACUUCCCAGCUGCUGCCUCCUGCCCCGCGCGGCCGCGCAGGACGACGCGCGGCUGCUGCUCGAGAUCAAGCGCGCGUGGGGCGACCCGCCCGUGCUGGCCGGGUGGAACGCCUCGGCCGCGGGCGCGCACUGCGCGUGGCCGUACGUGGCGUGCGACACGGCCGGGCGUGUCGUGAACCUGACACUCGCCAGCGCCAACGUCGCGGGGCCCUUCCCGGACGCCGUCGGCGGCCUCACCGGCCUCACGUACCUCGACGUCUCUAGCAACAACAUCACCGGCGUGUUCCCCACCGCGCUCUACCGCUGCUCUGCGCUUCAGUACCUCGACCUGUCCUGGAACCAUCUUGGCGGAGAGCUCCCCGCGGACACCGGCUCCCGCCUGGGGGCGAACCUGACCACGCUGGUGCUCAGCGGAAACAGGUUCAACGGCACAAUCCCAGCGUCGCUCUCCAGCCUCCGGAAUCUCCAGAAUCUCAAGCUGGACGACAACAAACUCAUUGGCACCGUCCCAGCGGAGCUCGGCAAGCUGACGAGGCUUCAGACGCUAUGGUUGGCGUACAACCCGUUCGACGCGGGGGACCUGCCGGCCUCAUUUAAGAACCUGACCAACAUGACUAGUCUCUGGGCAGCGCAGUGCAAGCUCGUCGGCGACUUCCCGAGGUUUGUCGCGGACAUGCCGGAGUUGGAGGUGCUGGACCUGUCCAUCAACACGCUGACCGGAAGCAUACCUCCGUGGGUUUGGAGCCUCAAGAAAUUGCAAUCCUUUGCAGUUUACAGGAACAACCUCACCGGCGACUUGGUGGUUAAUGACUUCGCCGCGAUGGGCUUAACAUUAAUCGAUGUUUCAGAGAAUUAUAAGCUUACUGGAGUUAUCCCGGAAGUCUUUGGGCACUUGGAGAACCUCACAAGAUUGUCCCUCUUCAGGAACAACUUCUCCGGCGAGAUACCUGCCAGCAUCGGCCGGCUGCCAUCAUUAUCGGUAUUGAGGCUUUAUAGUAACAGGUUUACUGGUAUUCUCCCGCCAGAACUUGGGAAGCACUCGACCUUUACUUAUAUGGAGGCUGACGACAAUGAGCUCAUUGGCACAAUUCCAGAAGGGCUAUGUGCCAGAGGCCAGUUCAUGACGCUCACUGCCAAGGGCAACCACUUGAACGGAUCCAUCCCGGAAGCCCUGGCCAACUGCACCAGUCUGCGCAGCCUGCAGCUAGACAGUAACCAGCUCUCUGGCGAGGUGCCCCAGGCUCUAUGGACGAUAGGGAUUAAAACCUUGUUCCUACGGAAUAACAGGCUCACCGGAAGACUCCCCGCCACGAUGGAUAGCAACCUUACAACGUUGCACAUUGAGAACAAUCAGCUCUUUGGCAGCAUCCCGGCGACAGCUGCUGCGCUCCAGGUGUUCACCGCCGAAAACAACCAGUUUUCAGGUGACAUGCCGGCGAGUCUUGGGGACGGCAUGCCGCGGCUACUGACACUGAACCUGUCCGGUAACCAACUGUCGGGCGGAAUCCCAAGGAGCGUUGCUGAGCUAACGCAGCUCACCCAACUGGACAUGAGCAGGAACAAGCUCACGGGCGCGAUACCGGCAGAAUUGGGCGCCAUGCCGGUGUUAAGUGUCCUUGACCUGUCGUCGAACAAGCUCUCCGGCAACGUACCGCAGGCACUUGCGAUGCUGACACUCACCUCCCUGAACCUGUCAUCCAACCAGCUCAGUGGCCAGGUCCCGGCUGGGCUUGCCACGGCAGCCAACGGCAACAGCUUCCUCGACAACCCCGGCCUCUGCACCGCCGCUCUGGGACGACCCGGCUACCUCGCCGGCGUGCGGUCCUGCGCCGGGGGGUCGCAAGACGGCA
rnacentral:lncRNA from 1 species